rnacentral:rRNA from 1 species
CACGUAGGGCGCAAGCGUUGUCCGGAAUUAUUGGGCGUAAAGAGCUCGUAGGUGGUUUGUUACGUCCGCUGUGAAAUCCUAGGGCUUAACCCUGGGCUUGCAGUGGAUACGGGCAGACUAGAGGUAGGUAGGGGAGAGUGGAAUUCCUGGUGUAGCGGUGAAAUGCGCAGAUAUCAGGAAGAACACCCGUGGCGAAGGCGGCUCUCUGGUACGUGACUGACGCUGAGACGCGAAAGCGUGGGGAGCAAACAGG